CACCACAGGAAAUCUCAUGUGUUUGACACAGAACGAACGAAAAAAUACUUCCGGCGAAGCACAACAACUCCAUACCUGUUUCUUAUCACAUCUCACUCGUGCUCCAUCAUCAUCAAAAUGUUCAUGCGAACCGUGGCAGGAGCACCGCACACAUGUCACCUGAAUCGUCGUUUGGUGGAUUAUACGCCUUUCAUGCCUCGUCCGACAGUUGUUGCUUCGGGCUAAUACGGUGAUGAUUUUUGUUUGAUGGAUGAAUGAAUCGAUCCGUGUACCUACACGGAACGCAGACCUAGCGCAGUGCCGAUCGCAGUUCCUUACCUCAAUGCUGACACUUCCAUCAAAGCGGACGCGAACACACGACGAACGAUAAACGGAAUAGAAUACCGGCUCACCCACGAUUCAACUCUUAACUCAUCAGCGGUAGAUUGUCGCCCGGUCGCUACAGACGCUGCCAGCAGUGGCUUCGUGAUGCAAUAGACGGCAGAUUUGUGUAUGCUUCUACAGCCUGCUCUAACUCGCCGUAGCUUCCUUUUCGUUGUCUUGGGUCGACGUCUUGAAAACACACGCUCUCGCGGGAGCGCGGAAUUGGCGAUAAUAUCGAAAUCAUAUUUAAAUUCUUCUCCCUGCGGCUUAUCCCCGCUCAUGUCAACCGCUACCAGAACCACCGACAUAGACGGAAGGAGCGAUAGAACUGAACACAAGCCGACA